rnacentral:rRNA from 1 species
UACGUAGGUGGCAAGCGUUGUCCGGAAUCAUUGGGCGUAAAGCGCACGUAGGCGGCGGCGUAAGCGGGAUGUGAAAGCCCAGGGCUCAACCCUGGAAGUGCAUCCCGAACUGUGUCGCUUGAAUCUCGGAGGGGGACAGAGAAUUCCCGGUGUAGAGGUGAAAUUCGUAGAUAUCGGGAGGAAUACCAGUGGCGAAGGCGCUGUCCUGGACGAAGAUUGACGCUGAGGUGCGAAAGCGUGGGGAGCAAACAGG